rnacentral:rRNA from 1 species
GACGAACGCUGGCGGCGUGCUUAACACAUGCAAGUCGAACGGAAAGGCCCCUUUUGGGGUACUCGAGUGGCGAACGGGUGAGUAACACGUGAGUAACCUGCCCUUGCCUUCGGGAUAACUUCAGGAAACUGGGGCUAUUACCGGAUAGGAAUCCUUGCUGCAUGUUGGGGUUUGGAAAGCUUCGGCGGUUUUGGAUGGACUCGCGGCUUAUCAGCUUGUUGUUGGGGUAGUGGCUUACCAAGGCUUUGACGGGUAGCCGGCCUGAGAGGGCGACCGGCCACAUUGGGACUGAGAUACGGCCCAGACUCCUACGGGAGGCAGCAGUGGGGAAGAUUGCACAAUGGGCGGAAGCCUGAUGCAGCAACGCCGCGUGCGGGAUGACGGCCUUCGGGUUGGAAACCGCUUUCAGCAGGGGCGAAGCUUGUGGUGACGGUACCUGCAGAAGAAGCACCGGCUAACUACGUG